UGGGGAAUAUUGCACAAUGGGCGCAAGCCUGAUGCAGCCAUGCCGCGUGUGUGAAGAAGGCCUUCGGGUUGUAAAGCACUUUCAGCGGGGAGGAAGGCGAUAAGGUUAAUAACCUUGUCGAUUGACGUUACCCGCAGAAGAAGCACCGGCUAACUCCGUGCCAGCAGCCGCGGUAAUACGGAGGGUGCAAGCGUUAAUCGGAAUUACUGGGCGUAAAGCGCACGCAGGCGGUCUGUCAAGUCGGAUGUGAAAUCCCCGGGCUCAACCUGGGAACUGCAUUGGAAACUGGCAGGCUAGAGUCUUGUAGAGGGGGGUAGAAUUCCAGGUGUAGCGGUGAAAUGCGUAGAGAUCUGGAGGAAUACCGGUGGCGAAGGCGGCCCCCUGGACAAAGACUGACGCUCAGGUGCGAAAGCGUGGGGAGCAAACAGG
rnacentral:rRNA from 1 species